UCGCCGCGCCCGGGCCGGGCUGGAGGGGGCCCCGCACCACCUGGCCCCGGGGAGGUGGCGCGCCCCGGCUGCCGGGCGGAGAUUGCAGCUUCCCCUCUGGCGGCUCACGCCGCGCCGCCGGCCCACACCCCACGCGCGUCCCGGGGGACCUGCAGCGUCGCGUCGCCCCUCCAGACUGCCCCUGGCGCCACGCCUCGGCCGCCGGGGCGGCACGUCGACCCGGAACAGAAGCCCGGCCCGCAGCUUGGGCCGCCCUGGGCAGUCGUUUUGAACCCAGGGGUUGGCUCCGAGUCGCUCCAGAGGCGAUCAGUCCUCUAGGGAUUUAUUUGGCUUAUCCUUAACUUUCUGCAGGGACAGCGUUCCUCUCCUGCCUUCCAUGCUCAGCAGGGCACCUUCAGACACUUAAAUGACCAAGAAAGGAGGGAGAUGGAAACGUGCCCCUUCAACCCUAGACCAAACGCCACCCCCAGACGGGCGAACACUCCAGAUUUAAAGAUGAAGAUGGCCUACCCGGAAGAUUUUCGAGGAUCCAGGAGAAUCCACGCCAAGUGACCGUGACUUGUAAAGCGCUUGAACCACGGUGUGUGCUCAACAAAUGGUGGUUAUUUUUAAGAUCGUCCUCAUCAUCCCAACCCUCUGAGUGACAGCCCUCUGCAGAACAUUCCUUGGGAUAUGUUGGAAGACAGUGUUGACUGAGGCUGCCAGGUCUUUGGGGACGUAAGGCUGCUCUAGAUCUAGAACCUGAACAGGUCUCUUCUGGACUUGAUGUUGACAGGUGGCUUCCAUGUCCUGGCAGUUGUGAACAGUGCUGCUAUGAACACUGGGGUGCGUGUGUCUUUUUUCAUUUUAGAGAUGAGAAGCCUAAACUCAGAGGCCAAAUGAUGUUCCCUGGGUCACAAAGCACAAGACAAAGCCAGGAUCUGACCCUACGGUAGUUUAGCUUCAAAACCACAUCUUCGACCGUAACUUGAGAAUUUCAGACACUGAUGAACAAGCCAUGCUGGGCACGUACAGGGGAGACAGGAUCUACCCGCUGGCCGUGAGAUCACAGUUUCUCCAGGGCAGGAAGAUGCAGAAAUGAGGACCCAUGAAGCCUGGCACAGAUGUAAAUGGAAGUACCUCUCCUUCCCCCAUCAUGACGUGGCUCCCGUGGCAGUAGACCAGUGCUGGGCAGCUCUGUUUCAGGAUUACAGCUGCGGGUUUUCCCCUUGGAGCUGGUCUUCAGGUGUUGACAAGAACCCCAAAGCAGAUGGGCACAUGAGGGUUUUAUUAACCCAGGAGCUGUCAACUUCAUGGCUGGCAAAUGGGGGCCGGGGUUUUGGGGAAAACAAUGAACGACCCAAGAAAACGUGCCAUAAGAUGAAAAACAGCUAGGAACACCCUAAGGGACGUAGCAACAGUCGUCGAACAGAGAUGAUAGCUGUUAAAGGAAAAAUAAAGCGACUGUGGGUGGGACAGGAGUUGGAAGUUUGACCUUGAAGCAGGGAAUCGGAUCCAGCAGAGAGUCUCUGGAGGAUGAGGGUUAGGGGAGGGAAACAUGGGUCAUUUAAAGCCAGACACCCGUGGAACUGCCCAUCAGGGAAACCCCAUGUCUGCAUUGCUGGCUGGGUGGUGAGAGUGGAUUUUUUGGUUAGGUGAGCAUCAGGCCGGCUCCAGGGGACGGCUGUGAACCGUGAACCUGGCCCACUGCAGACAGUGACUCUCAGCUGCCUCUGCUGUAUAGGCGGGUGCCUGCGUCAGCUAUGCAGCCAGGGAGGGAUGUCCCAGAACUUCCUGUGCCAUUCACGCUGCAUCACGCUAUUUCUAAAGCACACAGGAGGACAUGGGGUUUCAGGAAAGUCCAGUGACUCAACUGAAAUGCCACAGAGAAGCUAGAUUCUCUGGGGAGCUCCUCUCCCCACCCUCGGCUUGUAAAGCACGUUCACUUUCUACGAUUCUGUCUAAAACGAAGUGUUUAGACUCAGCUGUCAAGUAAUUGGUCUUUUAAAAAAUGUGGUCUGCAGAGUGACAAGGAAUAACUACAGAUAUACGUCUGCUCUCACUUUUGCAAUAGUGUGAGGUGACGACAAAAUUUUAGCAACAACCGAAAAUUACAUGGAGGAUCAAUAUUUUCCCAAAUCUGCUGGUGUCUGCAGGAUGCAUACAGGUGACCCAACGAGGAAAA